rnacentral:lncRNA from 1 species
GAAAUGGGGCAAGAAAUGACUGACUGUCACUACAAGAUAUGUCUUUGGUGUUUUUUGUGGCUUUGUUCUGUUUUGUUUGUUUUGGGGGGGGACAUGGUCUCUCUCUGCCGCCUAGGCUGGAGAGCAGUGGCAUGAUCUCGGCUCACUGCAGCUUCUACUUCCUGGCCUCAAGCAGUCUUUCCACCUCAGCCUCUCAACGCACUGGAAUUACAGAUGUGAGCCACCACACUAGGCCUACAAGAUUUGACUUUUAAAGAAUUAAUUAUAUUGACUGAGAGAGAGGCCCAGGAGAGAAAGAAGAAAGAAAAGGAGCCAGGGAUGGCUCUUCCUCAGGUAAAGUGAUA